ensembl:lncRNA
GCGUCCUUCUGGGUCGGUGCGGGCGAGCACAUUGAGAACAGACUGGAUGGAAAAAGGGGUCCUGCGUCGCGCCCUUUAACGUCCCCCCCCCUCCCGGGCCGCACCAAUAUAACCAGGGAGCUGCUAAAGUGCAUUUUUCCCAGCGAGGGAGCAGCUCUUCUGCACGCCGCAAUGGAUUGCUUCCUCAUCCUCCUCUUCUGUCCUCCAUCGAUUUGAGCAGCGACGUGUCCUGGAGGCACGUGAGGCGCUGUGUGCGUCCAUCUGCACGGGAUGCAGAACAACUCUCCAUCAGCAAGGACUCAAACACGCACGCGGUCUCUGCCCCUGUUAUUGUUAUUCCCCCUGAAUCUCAUCUCCUCCUACAAUAAAUGUACAUACAGCUUGCAAUAUCUCUUAGGCGGUAAUUUCUCUGCACCAUAAAAUGAGUCAUUUGUCUCCUCUUUAUUUUUCCGUCUCUCAGCCAGCGAGGGAGGAGGCGCGCCGCCGCUGAGAUUAAAACCUGAUGGAGGGUGUCUGAGCGAUGUGUGGAGGAAGGCUUUGAGAUGAGCUGAGGACACACACAGCGAGACUACAGCGAGACAUUUAACUUCGUCAGAGCGUAUCUGGACCUUUUGGCGACCUGGAGACGUUUUGGAAAAAGUAGGUGCAAAUGUUUUACCAUUCAGCUGUUUUGUAAUUGACUCCAAAGUUCCUUAAAAUACUUAAUUUACAGCCUCUACAGUUCAACGGGAGGAUUCAGGACUCCCACAUUCAUCAAGCGCAGCCGAAGGGAGCGCGGACGUUCAGCUCGAGACGUUCCUGAAAUAUGAGCUGUUAAGGUCAACGAAGAUCUGGAAGGAACUUUUUACAACGAUUUCAGGAGCCGUGGGGCUCUUUUUUUUUGUGUGUUGAAUUUUUUUUUUGUGGGGGGGGG